rnacentral:rRNA from 1 species
UUUUAUUUGAGAGUUUGAUCCUGGCUCAGGAUGAACGCUGGCGGCGUGCCUAACACAUGCAAGUUGAGCGAUUUACUUCGGUAAAGAGCGGCGGACGGGGGAGUAACGCGUGGGUAACCUACCCUGUACACACGGAUAACAUACCGAAAGGUAUGCUAAUACGGGAUAAUAUAUUUGAGAGGCAUCUCUUGAAUAUCAAAGGUGAGCCAGUACAGGAUGGA